GACGAACGCUGGCGGCGUGCUUAACACAUGCAAGUCGAACGGAAAGGCCCUGCUUUUGUGGGGUGCUCGAGUGGCGAACGGGUGAGUAACACGUGAGUAACCUGCCCUUGACUUUGGGAUAACUUCAGGAAACUGGGGCUAAUACCGGAUAGGAGCUCCUGCUGCAUGGUGGGGGUUGGAAAGUUUCGGCGGUUGGGGAUGGACUCGCGGCUUAUCAGCUUGUGGGUGGGGUAGUGGCUUACCAAGGCUUUGACGGGUAGCCGGCCUGAGAGGGUGACCGGCCACAUUGGGACUGAGAUACGGCCCAGACUCCUACGGGAGGCAGCAGUGGGGAAUAUUGCACAAUGGGCGGAAGCCUGAUGCAGCAACGCCGCGUGCGGGAUGACGGCCCUCGGGUUGUAAACCGCUUUCGCCUGUGACGAAGCGUGAGUGACGGUAAUGGGUAAAGAAGCACCGGCUAACUACGUG
rnacentral:rRNA from 1 species